AGUGAACGCUGGCGGUAGGCCUAACACAUGCAAGUCGAACGGCAGCACAGUAAGAGCUUGCUCUUACGGGUGGCGAGUGGCGGACGGGUGAGGCAUACAUCGGAAUCUACUUUUUCGUGGGGGAUAACGUAGGGAAACUUACGCUAAUACCGCAUACGACCUACGGGUGAAAGCAGGGGAUCUUCGGACCUUGCGCGAUUGAAUGAGCCGAUGUCGGAUUAGCUAGUUGGCGAGGUAAAGGCCCACCAAGGCGACGAUCCGUAGCUGGUCUGAGAGGAUGAUCAGCCACACUGGAACUGAGACACGGUCCAGACUCCUACGGGAGGCAGCAGUGGGGAAUAUUGGACAAUGGGCGCAAGCCUGAUCCAGCAAUACCGCGUGGGUGAAGAAGGCCUUCGGGUUGUAAAGCCCUUUUGUUGGGAAAGAAAAGCAGCAGGUUAAUACCCCGCUGUUCUGGCGGUACCCAAAGAAUAAGCACCGGCUAACUUCGUG
rnacentral:rRNA from 1 species